AGUUUCUGAAAGGAACUCUUCUACAGGAGAAGAACAUGAUCCCUAUGCAGUUCCUAAAAACAUGGGAAUCUUCCGAGUAAUUGAGAGCCCUAAAGACAUUAUAACCACUUCAGUUGCUCAAAGAAUCAUUGCCAACCACGAGAUAUAUGUGAAAAGGAACACCAAAAAAGAAGCAAGCGAGAAGAAGUACUAUGCAGAGAAGCGGUAUGUUUCAGGCGAUUAAGUUUUAUGUUACAGUCUCCAGUGUGCCUCUUGUGGCUUGUGACUUUGGCGAAGCUGCUCUUUUAUCAAGGUAGCUCGUCUUGUGUUUGUAUUUGUUUGUAUUCGAAAUGUAUACGUUCAAGGAGGUUUGCGAGAUAUAAGAAGAAAAUUCAUAGUCAGCAGAUGUAGGUUUUUAUUCAUUUAUUUAUUUCUUGGUGGUUGUAGCUGAUUUCCUAAUCUCAAAUCCAUAUUGAUUCUUGUAAGUUAAGGAGCUGUUGUUCCAUUCUUAU
rnacentral:misc_RNA from 1 species